UGCUCUCCGGGCUCUCCGGUCUGGUGAAUUUC
rnacentral:scRNA from 1 species